rnacentral:misc_RNA from 1 species
AGACAUUUCAUCACAAUCUGCCUUUAAGUCCGCUUCACUACAUCAGUAAUACGAAGGGUAUCCCCCGAAGGAACCGCCAGUUCUCGCAGAGGAUGAUUGGCCAUACUGUCCAUACUGCAGCCCCUGCAAGCCUGAAGAACCCUGCGAGCCAUAAGCACCUAGCAAAGAACUAGAACUAGUCCCUGCGCCGGCUUCACCCCUUCCGUAAUCCUGUCCCAAGGGAGGAGCAUA